rnacentral:rRNA from 1 species
UACGUAGGGUGCAAGCGUUGUCCGGAAUUAUUGGGCGUAAAGAGCUCGUAGGCGGUUUGUCGCGUCUGCUGUGAAAAUCCAGGGCUUAACCCUGGACCUGCAGUGGGUACGGGCAGACUAGAGUGCGGUAGGGGAGAUCGGAAUUCCUGGUGUAGCGGUGAAAUGCGCAGAUAUCAGGAGGAACACCAGGUGGCGAAGGCGGAUCUCUGGGCCGUAACUGACGCUGAGGCACGAAGGUCAGGGGAGCAAACGGG